rnacentral:lncRNA from 10 species
AUUUUGAUAGUGGCUGGAGGGCAGGCAGCUCAACCUCUAAACCCCCCUGGUCUGGGCACCAAGUCCUGUCCUGGGCACGGGACACAGUCCUCCAGCGAGACCAAACCCAGCUUCUCUACAGCACCAGGAAGAAGGCAAGCUGGGCCACCAGGGCGCGGCCCCAGGAAGGAAAAUCCUCCAUGGUCCUGUUGACAGAUGUGGUAUCAAAUGAAUUGUUCUCUGCUUAGACACGACUUUGAUAUUUAUUGGUUCAAAUUGCUCGGCUGACUCAGUCUUGCUGAGCCCUGAAGCAUGGCAUUGAGAAGCUGCCUAAGAAGGAGGCAGAUCCAUCAGCCUGGGUGCCCGACUGAUUACCCUGAGCAGAGCUCCCCAGCCCACCUGUGAUGGACGCAUGGAGCUUGAGCAAGGAAUAAAUAUUCGUUGCUGGACUCUGAUUACACUGGACCUAUCCAAGAUCUGAGAUCAUCAACUCAUCUCAAAAUCCUUAAGCUGACCACAGCAGCAUCGUCCCUUUUGCAGUGUAAGGGAGCCCAGCUGGGACAAUGUGUGAAUCAACGCAUGAAGGAGUGAGUGAGCAGCUAACCAAAUGAAAGAAUACUCAGAUAUCUGGGGUACAGUUCCCCUCCAGGUUUGCACAGCAUCUGCUGAAGUCUCCACUAGAAACUCAAUGGAAGGUCCCCACCGGAAACUGAAAGUCUCCUAGAGUGGCUUUGAGUUGCGGUUUCACCCUCCCUGCAGAUCCACAGGGGAGGCUGGGGCAGAUGGAAAAUACCAACUUGAUGGUCUGUGGCCACACCAUGCUGCUCCCCAAGGCCCCUCAGAAUUUCACUGCCCAAUAUGGUAGCGCCCAGCCUGAAACGUGGCCAGUGUGAAUUGAGAUGGGCUGGAAAUGCACCAGACUUCCAAGAGCUGGACAAAAACCAUAUACUUUCCAUCCAGCUGUUUGGCAUUGGAUACUGCUGCCUCUGCUUGACUUGAGAAUGUGUGAGAAAAGCUGUGUUUAGACAACUGAAAACCAUGAGCUUGAAAGUAGUGGGGGCACACUCUUGGAGACUCCAGUUGCUCACCAGCUUGGACAAACCACUGGACUCAAAUGAUCAGGUAGAAAUUCAUCACUGGAGAGAACACAGUGGAAUGGCUUCAGCGAAAACUCACUCUGAAGGUCUUCAGGGCAACUUUAAGACUUGCCCCUGGCCGGGCACAGUGGCUUAUGCCUAUAAUCCCAGCACUUUGGGAGGCCGAGGCGGGUGGAUCACCUGAGGUCAGGAGUUCAAGACCAGCCUGGCCAAUAUGGCGAAACCCUGUCUCUACUAAAAAUCCAAAAAAUUAGCCGGGCGUGGUCGUGGGCGCCUGUAAUCCCAGCAACUCGAGAGGCUGAGGCAGGAGAAUUGCCUGAACCCGGGAGGCAGAGUUUGAAGACAGCCGAGAUUGCACCACUGGGCAACAAGAGCAAAACUCCAUCUCAAAAAAAAAAAAAAAAAAAAAAAUACUUGCCCCGGCUUUUUGUGUGAUGGACUUUCUAUUUACAGACGUGAUAUUUAUCUAUGACUUUACUCAGAGUCUGGCUCAUAGACCAGAAGGACUGGUAUCUCCUGGAGCUUGCAGGAAAUGCAAAAUCUCAAACCCCUGUAUUAGUCAGGGUUCUCCAGAGAAGUAGAGCCAAUGGGAUAGAGACAGGGAUAGGGAUGAUAGAGAUGGAGAUAGAGGUAGAGAUCCAUUGAUUCCUCUGUUAAUAAAUUGGCUCAUGCAGUUGUGACAAUUUCGAAAUCUGCAAGGUAUGUCAGCAAGCUGGAGACCCAGGGAACAGUUGAUGUUGCACCUUGAGUACAAAGGCAGUGUGUCUGGAGCCAUAAUAUCUUCUUGUUAGGAAGACUUUGGUCUUUUCUCUUCUGGCCUUCAACUGCUUGGAGAAGGAACACAGGCUCAGACAUCAGUGCCAUAUCUGAAGACAUUCAGCUAAUAACAGGAUGGAGUCCAAUCUGAAACAACUGUCACGCUGAGCCUAAUUGCUGAAGAUGGUUGAAGGCACCAGGAGGCUGGAGUUUCCUGGAGGUGGUUUGUGGCCAACCGUCAAUUACUUGGGCUGCUGUGCAGUGGGGAUAGAAGGAUGAUUAGAAUCCACAGACAACCCAUUGGCCUUUGUUUACCAUUAACUUCUGUUUUCUCCACCAGCCAAGCUCCUCCAGACCCAGGAGAUGGCUCUUCCCUCUGUGUAGCACACUCUUUCCAGUCAAGGGGUCUUGCACUGCUAUUUCCCCUUCUGCUUUGCUUGGUUCAUUCUUACUGACCCUCCAAAUACUGAAGGAAUGAAUGGAGAAAUAAGUAAAUGAGAGAUGUGGCCAAGAGUCUCCAAGAGAGGAAAUUAAAAAAUCCUAUACCUGUGAGGAACUGGCCCACUUGCAAAAGGCGGACUCAUUUGUCACUGUGUUUGCUGGCUGCUCGCACCACACAGUUUCCAGCCUAGGCAUUAUUUCCAACCUCUUUUUCCAAAGGGUCUUUCUAAGGUACAGAAAAUGGACAUAAAAUCGCCCAACGUAGUUGAGAGGUAAGGAGUAAAAGCCGGAAUUUGAACUCCUAAUCUCCUGCCACGAUUUCAUGCUGCCUCUGGGUAAUCUCCCAGCACGUUGCUUAAUCAGCUGCUGAGUCAUUGAGAGCCGGCAGAACCAGCUUCCUGCUGAGGCAGAGUGGGAGGAGGCCCGUCUGGGAGCAGCACACUGAAGGAAGGGAGGAGGAGGUGAUGUUUGGCACAAUCGGAUUGGUUCCCAUGAGGUCCAGGGCUGCGGCUCCUACAGAAGGCACUUUUUGCAUAUGGUAGGCUUCACGGGGUGCAACCUCUGUGUUGUUAGGAGAACCUCGUGCUUGCUAUGAUGCUCUGCUGUCAUUAUCUUGAAAUUCUUAGUCACAUUAAAACACGGGAGCCUACAUGUUUAUUUUGCACUGGAUCCUGCAAAUUAGCCAGUCCUGGUACUGAGGGCAGGUCCCUGGGUGAGUCUCACACAGCCUCCAUCCUUUGGUAAAGCAGCUUUCCUGAUUUAGCAAAUGCCUUACCAGAAAGCCUUUUCCUUGAAGAUGCUUUAACUUUUGUCUUCCCUGGCAAAGCUGUUUCCUUAUGGUAAAGCACCCAGCUCAUAGCUGAUAUUCAAUCCAUGAAGUAGCUCUGUCAGCAGCUGUCAUCAUGAAGACUUUGCAGCCUGCGGGUGGUAGCAUUCUGAAUCGUCAGUCUGUCUCGCUCCUGUAGCAAAUGCACGAUCCGGGAAAGCAUGUCCCAAGCUUUGUUCUGGAGAAGAUUUCUCCAGCUAUCAGAUGGUGUCUGUCAUCACAAUAGCUUAGGAGAUGCUGCUCACUCCAUCCUCCUCACUAAGUGUCACAGUACACUUGGGUAUGUACAAGUCUCUGAGAAGUCCAGCAGCAAAGACACCUUUGUGUUUUGCUGAUUCUAGCCUUUCCUAGACUAGAAGUCUUUUUUUCUAGUCUAGGAAAAGACUGUGGAAUCUUUUCUUUUUUUUCCUGAUACACACAUUCACAUUCCGUGGAACAUUUAGGACGUGGUUAUCUGGUCCUAAAGUAGUAAAGGUGAAGAUGUUGUGGGAGGUGCAAGAAAGAGCAGCAAGGAGUAGAUGGGGCACACUGCAAAGUGCGAUCCCCACAUACCUAAGUUAGUAUCAAUUACUACUAACAAAACUCGGCCAAGACUCUUUUGCAUUCGUUUUGUUUCUCUCUUUUACCCUGAUUAUAUUAAGAAAUAUGACAGGCCUGUGACUCACUGAUUAGACCAUCUUAGUCACUUUGGGUUGUCCCAGCAACAGGAGACUUAACUCUGACCAUAGGUAAGGAGCCCAGAGGACAGGAGAGCAGGGAUUUCUGAGGAUUUAACAAAUGCUUAUAAACAAAUGAUAUCACUUUGAACAAAGUAAUCAAAGUAUCAAAUGCUAUAAACACCACAGUAGGGCAAUGUGUGAAUCAUACUUGUGGUGAGACAUACAUAGAUCAGCUGCAAAGAGGAACUCAAUUCUGCAGAACCUCAGCUGGAGUAACUGAUGUGAAACAUGGACAGGGAAAUGGAAGGAAGUCAGCGGACACGGAAACUCUAGGAACUGAACUUUGACAAGGAACGCCGUCCAUAAUCCCAAGUCCUAUGACUUCAUAGAGGAAAAAAACCCUAGUGGAGCAGAACAGGGCCUCAUAGAGGGGCUGGGGCCUCACUGAGGGCUGGGAAGUUUGAUAGGACUUCCCUUGCUGGUAAGGAACAAAACUGGGUCUCAGGUUCAGGUUUGUAAAGCUAAUUUCAUACAUUUGCAGCAGAUGCUGUCAGUGUCCCUCCCCAAGCCCCUCAGCACUCAGCAUUCAUAGACAUCCUCAUCUUGCAAGCACCUGAGUCUCUCUCUGUAAGGUUUCUGUUGGCCUCAGGGCAGACCAGGGUACCAGGGAGGGCAGACCAGGGUACCAGGGAGCACAGCCCUCAAAGAAAGAUGACAGGAGUUGGUGUAAAUCUCAUGGCUUUCAUGUUACUUAGGGGGACCAAUGCUGAGGCAUGCUUAGCAUGAUCCUCUGUGAGACUGGGCCUCAGGUGUCCGCUGCAGCCGCCUGUUCAUUAGUGUGACAUGCACGGGAUUCCUUCCGUAUCCUGGCCCCUUUCUCUACUUCCCAACCGUGCUUCCUGAGACAUACUCAAAUCCUUGUCUCACACUUGGCUUCUGGGAGAAUCCAACUGCAAAUGCUGUGUUUUAUUUUUUAUUUAUGUAUUUAAUUAUUUGGAGAUAGGGUCUCCCUCUGUCACCCAGGCUGGAGUAAAAUGGCACAAUCCUAGCUCACUGCAAUAUUAAACUCCUGGGCUCCAGUAAUCCUCAGCCUCCAGGAGCUGGAACUACAGUCGUGCACAGCAAUGCCAGCUAAAGUUUCCUUUAAAUUUUUUGUAGAGUCAAGAUCUCACUAUUUCAGUCAGGUCUUGAACUCCUUGCCUCCCAAAGUUCUGGGAUUACAGCACUUGGCCUCCCAAAGUGCUGGGAUUACAGGCGUGAGCCACUGCAUCUGGCUGUUUAUUCCAUUAAAAUGAUUGAAGGAGUCUCUUGCUUUGGGAAUUUUGCUCCCGUGGUGAGAACACUAUGGGAAUGACAUCUCAAGAAUAUGGCUCCUUCAAAUGAAUUUAAAAUGGUCUUUCUAUUUUUGUCCAGUGGUUACAAUAGCUGAUGGGCUCGAGGUAAGGAGAUGCUAAGCUGCCAUUCUCUCCUUCAACCCAUGGCAUUUACUGAGCUUCUAAAUCAGUCAGGCCCUGGGCUGGACCCUGGGCAUGCAGACUGAAUCAGAGCCUUCAGGACUAGCAGGAGAGACAGGUAUAUAUAGUGGCAAGGGCAAUAUUUAUUCACUCAUUCAUUCUUUUUCCUUUUUUAUGUGCCAAAUCUUUAAUGAGGGCCUACCUUGUACUCAGGAACACCAGGAAUAAACAGAAAACAAAAAGAUAUCAUUUCUGGACUCAGUUCACCAUCUAGAGAAAAAAAAAAAAAAAAAAAAAGACCUGAAAUGGACAAAUACAGUACUGUUUGACAAAUGUCACGUAAGAAGAAGCCCAUGAUACUGAGGAUGGUAUAGGAGGGGCCGUAUCCAGGUUGAAGGAGUCAAAUAUGACAGCUGCCGUGAGAAUUACAAUCAGAAAACCAUGACCCGGAUGCUUAUCCUAUUCAUUGCUUGAGCCUGAGAACACAAACACACAGGGUGUGGCUGAAAUUCCUCUGAAAUUGUAUUGAUUUGAGAAAACUGCAAUCUUGUGUUAAAAUGUGAAUCAUACACAAGGAUGCAAAACAGUUACCGCUGACCAUAAAUCUAGGCUAUCAGAAUGGAAUCUGAUGGCUUGUCUACCAGACUGCAUUGUGAAACCAAUCAAAUGGGAGAUAGACUCACCACUUACCAAGUACCUCUGAGACACCAGGCACCCUGUGGGGUGCCCUACUCAUCAUCUUGUUUAACCAGUUGAUUGGGAAUAGCUCCAUUUUACAGAGAAAGACUGUUAGGCAGCUUUCUAAGAUGGCCCUAAUUAUUCCUUCCUUCUGGUAAUCCCCUUCCUUUAAAUGUGGGCUACACUUAAUUACCUGCUUUUAACAAACAGAAUAUAGCAAAAGUGAUGGGAUGUCAGGAGACUGAAUCAGUAACCAAAAACCUCCAGACAAAGAAAAGCCCAGGGCCAGAGGGCUUCACUGGUAAAUUUACCAAACAUUUAAAGAAGAAUUAGCACCAGUCUUUCUCAAACUCCUCAACAAAUUGAAGAGGAGAGAACACUUCUAAAUACACUUUAUGAGGCCAGCAUUACCCUAACAUCAGAGCCAGACAAAGACACAAGAAAAGAAAACUACAGACUAAUAUUUCUAAUGAAUCUUGAUGCACAAAUCCUCAAAAAAGAAGAAAACAUACUAGCAAACAUAAUUCAGCCGCACAUUAAAAGGAUUAAGCACCAUGACAAAGUGGGAUUUAUUCUUAGUAUAAAAGGAUAUUUCAACGUAAAAAAGUCAAUGUAAUAUAUCACAUUAAUAGAAUGAUGAGAAAAAAUCCACAAGAUUAUCCCAAUUGAUGCAUUUAACAAAACUUAAUACUCUUUCAUGAAAAAACACUCAACAAACCAGGAAUACAUGAAACUACCCCAACAUAAGACAGUCCACAAAUGAAAAGCUCACAACCAACAUAAUACUCAUGGUGAAAAGCUGAAAGCUUCCUCUAAGAUCAGGAAUGAGACAAAAAUGUCCACUUUUGAAUCAACCUGUAUUCAACAUAGUAUAAGAAGUCCUCGCCAGAAUUUUCAGGAAAAAAAAAAAAGAAAGAAAAAAAAGCCAGUCAAAUUGAAAAGAAAGAAGAAAAAUUAUCUUUGCUCACAAAUGACAUGAACUUAUAAAACUCCUAGAAUUAAUAAAUGGAUGCUGCAAUGUUGAAGGAUACAAAAAUCAACACACAAAAAUCAGUUAUGUUUUUAUAUACUAACAAUGAAUGAGCCAAAAAUGAAAUUAAAACAAUUCCAUUUACAAUAGCAUCAGAAAGACUAAAAUACCUAACAAUAAACUUAACCAAGGAGGUAAAAUGCUUGAGUAUUUAGACACUAAAAAUUAUAAGGCCUGCACGGUGGUUCAUACCUGUAAUCCCAGCAUUUUGGGAGGCAGGUGGAUCACUUGAGGUUAGGAGUUUGAGACCAGCCUGGCC